GGAGAGGUGUCCGAGUGGCCUAAGGAGCCGGUCUUGAAAACCGGUUUGCUCGCAAGGGCAACGUGGGUUCGAAUCCCACCCUCUCCG
rnacentral:tRNA from 1 species